CCUACGGGAGGCUGCAGUGGGGAAUAUUGGACAAUGGGCGAAAGCCUGAUCCAGCCAUGCCGCGUGUGUGAAGAAGGCCUUCGGGUUGUAAAGCACUUUCAGUGGGGAAGAAAGCCUUGGGGCUAAUACCCUCGAGGAAGGACAUCACCCACAGAAGAAGCACCGGCUAACUCCGUGCCAGCAGCCGCGGUAAUACGGAGGGUGCGAGCGUUAAUCGGAAUUACUGGGCGUAAAGCGCGCGUAGGCGGUCUGAUAAGCCGGUUGUGAAAGCCCCGGGCUCAACCUGGGAACGGCAUCCGGAACUGUGAGGCUAGAGUGCAGAAGAGGAAGGUAGAAUUCCAGGUGUAGCGGUGAAAUGCGUAGAGAUCGGGAGGAAUACCAGUGGCGAAGGCGGCCUUCUGGACUGACACUGACGCUGAGGUGCGAAAGCGUGGGUAGCAAACAGGAUUAGAUACCCGUGUAGUC
rnacentral:rRNA from 1 species